rnacentral:rRNA from 1 species
AGAGUUUGAUCCUGGCUCAGAACGAACGCUGGCGGCAGGCCUAACACAUGCAAGUCGAGCGCAGUCCUUCGGGACCGAGCGGCGGACGGGUUAGUAACGCGUGGGAACAUACCCUUUUCUACGGAAUAGCCUCGGGAAACUGAGAGUAAUACCGUAUAAGCCCUUCGGGGGAAAGAUUUAUCGGGAAAGGAUUGGCCCGCGUUAGAUUAGAUAGUUGGUGGGGUAACGGCCUACCAAGUCUACGAUCUAUAGCUGGUUUUAGAGGACGAUCAGCAACACUGGGACUGAGACACGGCUCAGACUCCUACGGGAGGCAGCAGUGGGGAAUCUUAGACAAUGGGCGCAAGCCUGAUCUAGCCAUGCCGCGUGAGUGAUGAAGGCCCUAGGGUCGUAAAGCUCUUUCGCCAGGGAUGAUAAUGACAGUACCUGGUAAAGAAACCCCGGCUAACUCCGUGCCAGCAGCCGCGGUAAUACGGAGGGGGUUAGCGUUGUUCGGAAUUACUGGGCGUAAAGCGUACGUAGGCGGAUCAGAAAGUAUAGGGUGAAAUCCCAGGGCUCAACCCUGGAACUGCCUUAUAAACUCCUGGUCUUGAGUUCGAGAGAGGUGAGUGGAAUUCCAAGUGUAGAGGUGAAAUUCGUAGAUAUUUGGAGGAACACCAGUGGCGAAGGCGGCUCACUGGCUCGAUACUGACGCUGAGGUACGAAAGUGUGGGGAGCAAACAGGAUUAGAUACCCUGGUAGUCCACACCGUAAACGAUGAAUGCCAGUCGUCGGGCAGUAUACUGUUCGGUGACACACCUAACGGAUUAAGCAUUCCGCCUGGGGAGUACGGUCGCAAGAUUAAAACUCAAAGGAGUUGACGGGGGCCCGCACAAGCGGUGGAGCAUGUGGUUUAAUUCGAAGCAACGCGCAGAACCUUACCAACCCUUGACAUCCUGUGCUACUACCAGAGAUGGUACGUUCCCUUCGGGGACGCAGUGACAGGUGCUGCAUGGCUGUCGUCAGCUCGUGUCGUGAGAUGUUCGGUUAAGUCCGGCAACGAGCGCAACCCACAUCUUUAGUUGCCAGCAGUUCGGCUGGGCACUCUAAAGAAACUGCCCGUGAUAAGCGGGAGGAAGGUGUGGAUGACGUCAAGUCCUCAUGGCCCUUACGGGUUGGGCUACACACGUGCUACAAUGGCAGUGACAAUGGGUUAAUCCCAAAAAACUGUCUCAGUUCGGAUUGGGGUCUGCAACUCGACCCCAUGAAGUCGGAAUCGCUAGUAAUCGCGUAACAGCAUGACGCGGUGAAUACGUUCCCGGGCCUUGUACACACCGCCCGUCACACCAUGGGAGUUGGUUCUACCCGAUGACGCUGCGCUAACCUUCGGGGGGCAGGCGGCCACGGUAGGAUCAGCGACUGGGGUGAAGUCGGAACAAGGUA